rnacentral:tRNA from 1 species
GGGCCAUUAGCUCAAUUGGCAGAGCAACUGACUCUUAAUCAGUAGGUUGAAGGUUCGAUUCCUUCAUGGCCCACCA